rnacentral:rRNA from 1 species
UGCCAGCCGCCGCGGUAACACGUAGGUGGCGAGCGUUAUCCGGAUUUAUUGGGCGUAAAGCGCACGCAGGCGGUUGGUCAAGUCCGACGUGAAAUCUCCCGGCUUAACUGGGAGCGGUCGUUAGAAACUGAUCAACUUGAGGCAAUGAGAGGGAUACAGAAUUCCUGGUGUAGUGGUGGAAUGCGUAGAUAUCAGGAGGAAUACCAGUGGCGAAAGCGGUAUCCUGGCAUUGUUCUGACGCUCAUGUGCGAAAGCGUGGGGAGCGAACGGGAUUAGAUA